rnacentral:rRNA from 1 species
CCCUUAGAUGUUCUGGGCUGCACGCGCGCUACACUGAUGCGUUCAACGAGUGUACAUCCUUGCCCGUUAGGGUUGGGUAAUCUUUUGAACACGCAUCGUGAUGGGGAUAGAUUAUUGCAAUUAUUAAUCUUCAACGAGGAAUUCCUAGUAAUGGUGAAUCAUCAGUUCAUCGUGAUUACGUCCCUGCCCUUUGUACACACCGCCCGUCGCUACUACCGAUUGAAUGAUUUAGUGAGGACUUCGGACUGGGACCGAUGCGGCUUUCGGGCUGCGUCGGUAUUCUGGAAAGAUGUCCAAACUGUAUCAUUUAGAGGAAGUAAAAGUCGUAACA